rnacentral:hammerhead_ribozyme from 1 species
AUUCACCUGAAGAGUCUCAAAUAGGACGAAACGCGCGUCAAACUAGAU